AGAUUGAACGCUGGCGGCAGGCCUAACACAUGCAAGUCGAGCGGUAGAGAGGUGCUUGCAUCUCUUGAGAGCGGCGGACGGGUGAGUAAUGCCUAGGAAUCUGCCUAGUGGUGGGGGAUAACGUUCGGAAACGGACGCUAAUACCGCAUACGUCCUACGGGAGAAAGCGGGGGACCUUCGGGCCUCGCGCCAUUAGAUGAGCCUAGGUCGGAUUAGCUAGUUGGUGAGGUAAUGGCUCACCAAGGCGACGAUCCGUAACUGGUCUGAGAGGAUGGAUCGAAGUCACACUGGAACUGAAGACACGGUCCAGACCUCCGUACGGGAGCAGGCGAGUGGGAAUAGUGGACAAGUGGGACGAAAGCCUGACUCCGAGUCCAGUCGCCGUCGUGUGUAGAA
rnacentral:rRNA from 1 species